rnacentral:lncRNA from 10 species
AGAUCGUGCCACUGCACUCCAGGCUGGGAGACAGAGCGAGGCUCCGACUCAAAAAACAAAAAAAACCCAAAAAAUUCUUAUCACCCCAGCAAUAAAGUGGCUGUUUCCCUUAAUGUUUUGUUUGCUGGUGAGUUUCUGCUGUCAGUUUCCUCAUUCCGUCUAUCACCUGAUUGAGACUUGGAGCAUGUAUACUGAUAGCUGUAAGAAUUUUUUUCCAGGUUUUUUGUUCCUGUUCCAGGAACAGCAACACAAGAAAGAAUCAAGUUUAUCCAGAUGAAGAGGAUAAGCACGUGUUUCUGUGUGUGUGAGCCAGCCCCAAUCCCACUGUCUCACUAAUAGCAGGCAGUUGUGUAACUAUGCCAACUACCAGAUUGUUUCAGGCCUUCAUUUGAUCAGCAGAGGCAUUUAAUAAAGUGCCUCUUAACCCAUCAGCUCAUUAAUAUUCAGUGGGGCCUUGAAGUUGGUUGCUGAAGUUGAAACUGUUUGUGUUCUGCUUAUGUCGUUGGCCGCUUAGCUAAAGAAGUCUGUUAAACUUCUUUGGCCUUCUUACUGAUGGUGAGACAUGAACACUUAAGGGGACAGAUGCAAAGGUGAGUCAGUGUACCUUAGACAGGGUUGGAAAACCUGGGUUGUGUGAGGUGGAGGGUGGCAAAUGAGGCCUGACUCUAGAGCCAGGCUCCCUGUUUAGGAAGCCAGCAGGUGAAAAGUAUAGCACCUAGGUAAGAGGAGGACAUUCCUGGGGUUCUCACUCCAGCCUGGGGCAGGCCAGGUGAGGCCCCGGGCACAGAUUCAAAUCGCUGAGCCAUGGGCUAGGCAUCCAAGAUGAAGAGCCUAGAGCCUGCUCUCCUCAUGUGCCCCCUUGGUCAUCGGGGGUUCAAGCUCACCUUAGGAAACUGGCCUCAAGAUUCCUGUUUCCACUGACUCAGCGUGGGGGCCACACAGGACCAGGAUGGUCUGAGAGUGAAGAGGAGUGAGGGUGGUUGUCUGUGUUGAGAGAGAGGAGGACUAGCCAGCAGCCUCUUGCUGGAGUCCCCCUAAAGGUGACAGUGAGUUUAUGAAGCACUUCCUGCAUGCCAGGUACCAAGGCACAGGGGAACUGAUAAUUCACCUGAGGCUAGUGGGCAAGCUGGAAGGGGUGUCCAGUUGUCUGGUUCUGCAGCCUGGCCUCAGAGCUCGGCAGGAGGAUGGCAAGAUAGUAAAGAGGGCUUUUGAUUGAGGAGGCUGAGGUGGGGUCAGUGCUUGAGGACAGGAGUUCAAGACCAGCCUGGCCAAUAUAGUAAGACUCCGUCUCCUUAAAAAAAAAUUUUUUUUGGCUGGGCACGGUGGCUCACGCCUGUACUCCCAGCUCUUUGGGAGGCCAAGGCAGGUGGAUCAUGAGGUCAGGAGUUCAAGACUAGCCUGGCCAACAUAGUGAAACCCCAUCUUUGCUAAAAAUAUGAAAAAUUAGCUGGGCAUGGUGGCGG